CGAACGCUGGCGGCAGGCCUAACACAUGCAAGUCGAACGAACCUUUCGGGGUUAGUGGCGGACGGGUGAGUAACACGUGGGAACGUGCCUUUAGGUUCGGAAUAACUCAGGGAAACUUGUGCUAAUACCGAAUGUGCCCUUCGGGGGAAAGAUUAAUCGCCUUUAGAGCGGCCCGCGUCUGAUUAGCUAGUUGGUUGAGGUAAUGGCUCACCAAGGCGACGAUCAGUAGCUGGUCUGAGAGGAUGAUCAGCCACAUUGGGACUGAGACACGGCCCAAACUCCUACGGGAGGCAGCAGUGGGGAAUCUUGCGCAAUGGGCGAAAGCCUGACGCAGCCAUGCCGCGUGAAUGAUGAAGGUCUUAGGAUUGUAAAAUUCUUUCACCGGGGACGAUAAUGACGGUAACCGGAGAAGAAGCCCCGGCUAACUUCGUG
rnacentral:rRNA from 1 species